UGGUUUAAUUCGAUGCAACGCGAAGAACCUUACCUGGUCUUGACAUCCACAGAACUUUCCAGAGAUGGAUUGGUGCCUUCGGGAACUGUGAGACAGGUGCUGCAUGGCUGUCGUCAGCUCGUGUUGUGAAAUGUUGGGUUAAGUCCCGCAACGAGCGCAACCCUUAUCCUUUGUUGCCAGCGGUCCGGCCGGGAACUCAAAGGAGACUGCCAGUGAUAAACUGGAGGAAGGUGGGGAUGACGUCAAGUCAUCAUGGCCCUUACGACCAGGGCUACACACGUGCUACAAUGGCGCAUACAAAGAGAAGCGACCUCGCGAGAGCAAGCGGACCUCAUAAAGUGCGUCGUAGUCCGGAUUGGAGUCUGCAACUCGACUCCAUGAAGUCGGAAUCGCUAGUAAUCGUGGAUCAGAAUGCCACGGUGAAUACGUUCCCGGGCCUUGUACACACCGCCCGUCACACCAUGGGAGUGGGUUGCAAAAGAAGUAGGUAGCUUAACCUUCGGGAGGGCGCUUACCACUUUGUGAUUCAUGACUGGGGUGAAGUCGUAACAAGGUAACCGUAGGGGAACCUGCGGUUGGA
rnacentral:rRNA from 1 species